AUUGCGGGACUGAAGCAGCUGUUAGAGUUGAGAGGAGAAAGAAAUUGGCUUCUGGUUGCUGAGCAGAGGAGGAUCUAGUUCAGAGAAUUUCUGCAGGCAUAAUCCAGGGAACACUGCUGAUUUGGGAUUCACAAAGCUUCAAGGAGUGUCAGCUUGAAGUGAUGUCUGCAUGCAGUCUGCAUCUAUGGUGGCAGCAGCAGUGGGACAGAAGGAACUUAUGGUUUUUCCUGGAAUAUUCUGCAUCCUGCUGAGUUGUGGAGCCUCCAGUCUGCUGUGGUGUGGCUGUUUCCCUGUAUUAUCUGCUACGAUAAUCCAGGGCCCCUUUGGUCUUGAGUUCUCUAAACCUCCUGGACGUGCACCAGAUCUCUUCCAGUUCAUUAGUUUUCUCAAUGUCCCCCAUCCCAUCACUCACAGGCUGUGGGCAAUUGGAAGUGCUAGCUCAAAGCAAUCUACAUAGACGUCUCUCCUGUUGAUGCUGUUACACUUAAUAUUUCCAGUAUAUCAUAAUUACUCUUUUUAUAUUAGGACAUGGCCGUGAAAGUAGACCGGCACCCAGUACAUUCAAGAGUCUUUCAAUAUAUCUAGGGUUCCUGUUGUUUGACCUUCUCAGAGAUGAGGCAUCUUCUCCCUAGUUUCAUCUACUCAAAAUAUAUCCC
rnacentral:lncRNA from 1 species